GUGGAAAGUAGAGCAGAGUUACAGAGCUCCUCUCCUUCUGGGAUCCCUAGGCCCCCAGCUAGUAGAAGGGAAGCCAACCUUUACAGUAAGGACAGCUAGAAUUCAGCUUCCAUAUAAAGCUGUCAGCUGCCUUGGAAAGGCCCCACAGAUGAGAGGUAUAUAAUUCUGAGACAACACAGAAGUCUCAGGAAGGAGGUUUUGGUCUCAGACUCAGGAAGGUGAGAAAAUAACCCAAAGUUUUAUAAAUGAAAGAAGAGAUCUCAGCGUUAGAUUAAGAAAAUGGGACAAGGAGGCAUGCUUAAGUUUCUUCAAAGGAUGGUGUGGACAGGAGGAGGGCUGUGUGCUCCAGUGGAUCAGAACUCCAUCCCAUUUCUCUGUCUUUCUUUCUGUUUUAGUUGACACUGGAGUUACCAGGAAGAAAGAAAAUAUUUUACUUAGAAAAAUAUCCUGCUUGGUAUAGAAGAUGAGAUGUUGAGGGCAGACCUUACACUGAGUAAAGAAACAAGCUUCUCUGCAUUAUAAAGAAGCAGCAGGUAGGUGAGGAGGCAGGGCAGAAGGAAGCCAGGGAGGGAGGUGAGAAGGGGGAGCAUCUCAGAGCACUAUGGUAGGUUCUGGGGCUUUAAAAAGGGGGGUAAUAUUCCUCAAUUCAAAAUGAUUUACAUUUCUGUGGUAUAGUCCCUUUCCUCCAAUACCUUUGGAAAGUUUGCUACCUCCAAAAUCCAAUGGCAAGUUUUCUUUUUUCUCUUCUUUUCUUUUCUCUCUCCUCUUCUCUCCUUUCCUCUUCAUUUCUUUUCUUUUUAACAUGAAACCACCAAGUGUGCUGGAUCCUUCACCCAGAUUGAUGUUAUGGGGCAGGAGGACUCAACAUACAACAUACAAGGCCACAGGGACAAUCUAACUGGGGAGAGAAGAUCUGGUGAGCCCACUGCAAGUGAGAUUUCCAAGGGGCCUAAUGUGUGCUGGACAGAGGAGCUCCUUACACCUUGUCUGCUUCUCACCGUAAUGGUGAUGCAGUGUGUCACCCCACUCUAGGACCAGCGCUGCCAUGGCUCCCACACCAAUCCUGAGGCUGCAGCAGAAAAAUGGUGGCUCUGGCUUUGGAAUGAAUUUCCCCUAAAUCAGUGUUUCUCAGACAUUCCCAUCAAAGGUGCCACCACCUUGGAUGAACCCAAUGGAGUUCGCCGCAAGCAUGAAAUUUCUGUGAGCAUUUUUAUGUUUUUUAUUUAUUUUUAAAAUUGUUAUGUUUUAUUUGAACACUGUAUGAGUUUGCAUUUAUAUUCA
rnacentral:lncRNA from 12 species